GUCUGGGUGGUCUGACCGGACGGACAACCGGUCCGUCCGGGUGGUCUGACCGGACGGAUCCGUCCGGUUGGUUCGUUUGGUUUUUUUUUUUCAGAUCCAAAAUUCAAUUUCGUACCUUUCCAAUUUUGAUCCGUGGUUCGUCGAGAGUGUUUUCGACCAAAUAAAACAUAGUAAAACAUACGAAAUAAGGAUUUUUUGGAUUGAACUAGUAACUUUUUUAUGUUUUUCAUUUUUACGGAAUGGACGUUUAGGUCAUUAUAAAUGUAGGGCGUCGUUUAAUUUCGAAAACUAGGGCGUCGUUUAGUAACCCUCAUUGCAAACACCAAUAUUACCUUUGAUUUAUAAUUUGUAGGACCCACAAAUUAGAGUUCCUACCGGCUA
rnacentral:lncRNA from 1 species